rnacentral:lncRNA from 1 species
GGACAUUCAGGGCAUGUUUGUACUAACUUAUCUCGGUAAAGGGAAAGCUGUUCCUUUAAAUUAUGUUUGCUGUGACUCUGGAAACUGAGCAAACAAAGUCUGAGGGGAAACUUCACUCUCAAGCAGAAGUGACAGAAGGUACGAGGACCGAAGGACAGGGAUCUUCAGUAGGACAUACCUGCCUCAGGAUUCACAACUGAAUUGCAAAUCUUGAACCAUUUUGAGUUCAAUCCGGAUUUGUUGGACAUAACCUCAUCCCGAUGGCAAAGGAGAGACUGGUUCAGCCCCAGACUGUCAGACUGCUCCUUUGGUCUUCUUGAACUACGGGGAAGUAUGUUUGCCUGCAAAGCACAUUCAGUUCUAAUUCAGAUAAAGCUGAUGGAGCUGUGGAGGCUACCUGUCUUCUGCUGCUCUGCUGCGGAUCCAUCCUCUCAGUUGCCAUAGAGACAAGAUCUGGAAGCCAUGGAUGGGCACGGGAGUGAAGCCGCCGGCAAUCUCCAGCAGGGCCUUUCUCAGCAGGUACCGAGAGAGUCAGGCUCAGUCUCUGAAGGUGAGGAAGAGCCAGAAGAUGCUAACUCGGUGGCCCAGGAGAGGGACUCACACACCCAUUACAUUGCCAUUCAAAGAAAUUCCAAGUACUACCGGUCCAUGAGACUUCCAAGCAGAGGGAAAAGAAAGACUUCGAGAGAGGCAAUGCACAUGGGGCAUGCUACAGGUUCCCUCAAAAACAACGAGCCUGUCAAAGAGCCUCUGAACGUUUUACCUCAUAAGGGAUCGCCCUCCCCAGUAAACUCUGACAAGACACCUUUAGACGAACUAUUGAUCCAAAGGUAAGUAAGGGCACAUGCAGGGUACUCGGUGCCUCCGCUGAAGAAUACAGUCAGAGAGGUUGUUUUGUGGAGGACAGCUGGACUCAGCUGUAGCUCUGGUCUGUGCUUUCUCACCCUGACGUGCAGUGCUGUUUUCAGUCCUAACGAAAUAUAUUGCGUAGUACUAGCUCCGUGGCAUAAAGGGACUGAUCAGUAUGAGUUUGGAAAAGACAGUGAAGGAGAAAGGGGAAAGAAGGAGAAGGGGAGAAGAAGAAGACAGUGAGGAAGAUUGAAAAAAGAGGGGAAUGUGAUGUAGGAUCACCCAGUGGCGUAAGCAAAGAGGGCAGGCUGCCUUAAGCAGCUUCAUGAGACAAUAAGGAGAACCUGCAGGCAUUUUCUUAUGGAACAUCCCAACAUAAGGGUGAUGCCAUUCUCGGCCUUCCCAGGGGGCUCUCCUGAAGCCUGUUAUACAACCCUACACGGAAAACAGGAUUUUAUAGCUGAAGAAGUAGCUAUAAAGAUGCUCUCUAAAGUAUUCUGACUUUCUAUUUGCUGUUUGCUUUGAAGAACUGAUAGGCAACAGAGGCUUUCAGCCAAACAGAGGAAGCCCUUUUUUGUUCAAAUCCCUCAACGAUUUAGGUCCAGCAAAAGGCCCUGACACCACAGCCCAUAAAUUCACAUACAUCCCAUAAAUUUACCCUCACCCCUGGUCUCUUGCCACUGCAGCCAGGCAGAGGGAGGAGCAGCUACCUAGCCUUACAUUUUCUAAUAUAUCAGUGAAGUAUUCUCCCAAACUCCCUCUUCAGCUCCUUAUCUCUUGUGUGUAAGUAUGAUAAUCCCUACUUGUGGUGUAGAAGAUCAAGAUAAAUACUUGCCCUCUAAAGGUGCACGCCUUAUACUGCACUGCAUGGUCCUAAUUAGCGAGCCCAGCUGCGUUGCUGUAAUGCAUAGUGCCUUUCCAGGCACCUUUCCUUAUGAAGAGGACUCCAGUGAAAAGCAUUUUAGCCAAACCGUAAAGUUGGAUU